GUCCCACUCUCAUGCUCAGUGUCCUUGCACCUGCACACACUGAAGCAAAUAGCACUCAAGUAAAAAAAAAUUGCACUCACCACUCUGCUUCUCCCUUGACUCCCUGGAUCUUCCCCAACGCCGGCAACUGGACACCCGAUCCGUGACCGGAGACCAAUCGACGCCGUAGUACUGCUCCCCCACCCCCGUCCCUCAUCCCUGUGACAUCCCCAUCCCUCCUCUCGGCUCCAGCUCUCCCCCAUCUUGCCUCCCGUGUGACCGACGGCUCCACAUCAACGACCACCUCCGGCCGGUGACCCAGGACUGGGAGGUGCUCGAUCUCUUCAUGCUCAUGGUCGAUCCAGUGCUAUGCGCUAUCAGAGGUGGACGCGGAGGCACAGGGCUUCUCUACACUUGAACGGCGGCCGCGGUCAUCGCACACUGGAGGACUGAAGUGCACCGGCCACCAAGAAUACAAGGCUCGCAGCUCAAUCCAGUAAUAAAAUAAAGCAACAGAAUCAGAGCAAGUGAAAAUCCAUGUUGAUUUGCUGCCAGCAAGAUAAAACUCAUGCAGCCGAUGAAGUGUUCCUCCUGGAGGGGAAGGUGGUAAAAAUCAAGGUGGCUAAGACAGAUAUCCCAGCGGCAAGUUGUUGAGGAGCUCUUUGGUGUCGGCACCGGCAUGCGGGAAGAAGCAAUCUGGGCAGACAUUGAUGAUUAUCUACUGGUGGAAGCAUACCAAACGUUUGUUUCUGGAUGGGCGAGUUGUAUUCAGAAAGCAAGCACAACCUGUAAUGGCACUCAAGGAUCCAACAUCUGAUAUGGCUAUCAUUGCACGCAAAGGUUAUAUUUUGGUACAGGAAAUCCAUGAAAAGCAGAUCCAACGUUUUUCGGAGGUUGUUGUUUAUAGUAUUGGAAAUAUAUUAGGUGUUGAGAAAACGACAGAAAGGUAAAAUAUUGCCACAUUUUCUGUAUAUCUUGAAAGGUGUUAUCUGUUCUACCACAUUUUUUUUUGACCGGGGUUCUACCACA